rnacentral:rRNA from 1 species
CAGUAGCCGCGGUAAUACGUAGGGUGCAAGCGUUAAUCGGAAUUACUGGGCGUAAAGCGUGCGCAGGCGGUUAUAUAAGACAGAUGUGAAAUCCCCGGGCUCAACCUGGGAACUGCAUUUGUGACUGUAUAGCUAGAGUACGGCAGAGGGGGAUGGAAUUCCGCGUGUAGCAGUGAAAUGCGUAGAUAUGCGGAGGAACACCGAUGGCGAAGGCAAUCCCCUGGGCCUGUACUGACGCUCAUGCACGAAAGCGUGGGGAGCAAACAGGAUUAGAUACCCGAGUAGUCCCUGUCUCUUAUAU